AUUCUUUUUGCCUUUAAAGCAACAAAUAUUCUCUAAAUAAAAGUCAAUCUGUUCUUAUCAGUUUAUUAUCCGAUAAGUCCUGUAUUUGAGGAAUAUAUAUUAAACGGAUUUUUGGAACUGGGAGAUGGUAUAGGGGCUUGCUCCGUCCACUCCACGUAUCGACUUGGUAUAGCAAUACCUCCAGGAAUGGUGGCCGAAAA